CAGGUCAGCUUCCUGCUGACUGGACUGACUUCAGCCCUGCGUCCACACUCAGCCUCCACGUUUGUGAACGACUGACACGGACAGACAUGCAGAGGACCCUCAGGGCAGAACUUCUGUAUCUAACUGCUGACAGGUGCCAGGAAUUGACCCGCGCACAGGAAAUACAAUGGUGAGUGAGAAACACAGCCUGCACUCACAGAGCCUGGCGAUGGGCAGGCCAGCCUGGACACUGGCCACAAGGAAAUCUUCUGAGACCACACAUUUAAGACCUCAUCACUUAAAGCAACAACCGCCCCAGUCCUUGGGCAGAUCUAGUCUUCAG